rnacentral:lncRNA from 1 species
GCUCUUGCAGUGUUCUCCCCGCAGGUGCUGCAUGGAGUGAGUGGCGGCAUCCACCGUGAGGAGGAGAGGAGCUCUGAUACCCUCAGGACCCGCCAGGAGGGGCAUCACGGAGGCUUCUGGACGACUUGGAGCUGUGUCCUGGGGAGAAAACCGCUCCUGUCUGGGCCCUGAGUGCUGAGGAGGAAGCUGCCAUGCACUUUUCCCUGGCAUUUUUCCUGCAUGGAGAGAGAGGUCCAAGGUGCCCUACAUCGUGCGUCAGUGCGUGGAGGAGAUCGAGCGCCGAGGCAUGGAGGAGGUGGGCAUCUACCGCAUGUCUGGGGUGGCCGCAGACAUCCAGGCACUGAAGGCAGGCUUCAACGUCAGUGAGUGUCGGCCUGCGCAGGACGGGAUGGAGGUGUGGGCAGUGGUGUCCACGAUGAGAUCUCAGAGUGCUCCAUGGCCCAGGCAUGUCACAUCCUUCUCUGUGUCUUUUCUUCAUUUACUGUUUUAUUAUUUUUAAAAAAGAGAAAACAAGAGUUGUACAAACAGCUUC